rnacentral:rRNA from 1 species
UAACGAUACGGGACUCAUCCGAGGCCCCGUGAUCGGAAUGAGUACACUUUAAAUCCUUUAACGAUGUUCCAUUGGAGGGCAAGUCUGGUGCCAGCAGCCGCGGUAAUUCCAGCUCCAAUAGCGUAUAUUAAAGUUGUUGCGGUUAAAAAGCUCGUAGUUGAAUCUGUGUGCCACGCUGUCGGUUCAUCGCUCGCGAUGUUUAACUGACAUGAUUGUGGGACGUCCUACCGGUGGGCUUAGCCUUUCGGGGCGGUCCAGCUAAUAUCCCAUCGCGGUGCUCUUCAUCGAGUGUCGAGGUGGGCCGGUACGUUUACUUUGAACAAAUUAGAGUGCUCAAAGCAGGCUAUGUUCGCCUGAAUACUGUGUGCAUGGAAUAAUGGAAUAGGACCUCGGUUCUAUUUUGUUGGUUUUCGGAACCCCGAGGUAAUGAUUAAUAGGGACAGAUGGGGGCAUUCGUAUUGCGACGUUAGAGGUGAAAUUCUUGGAUCGUCGCAAGACGAACAGAAGCGAAAGCAUUUGCCAAAAAUGUUUUCAUUAAUCAAGAACGAAAGUUAGAGGUUCGAAGGCGAUCAGAUACCGCCCUAGUUCUAACCAUAAACGAUGCCAGCUAGCGAUCCGCCUAAGUUCCUUUGAUGACUCGGCGGGCAGCUUCCGGGAAACCAAAGCUUUUGGGUUCCGGGGGAAGUAUGGUUGCAAAGCUGAAACUUAAAGGAAUUGACGGAAGGGCACCACCAGGAGUGGAGCCUGCGGCUUAAUUUGACUCAACAC